rnacentral:rRNA from 1 species
CCUACGGGAGGCUGCAGUGGGGAAUAUUGCGCAAUGGACGAAAGUCUGAACCAGCCACGUAGCGUGAGGGAUGAAUGCCCUCGGGGUGUUAAACUUCUUUUAUGUGGGAGUAAAACAGGGUAUGCAUACCCUCUUGUAUGUACCAUAUACAUGAGGAUCGGCUAACUCCGUGCCAGCAGCCGCGGUAAUACGGGGGAUCCGGGCGUUAUCCGGAUUUAUUGGGGUUAAAGGGAGCGUAGGUGGAGUUGUAAGUCAGUUGUGAAAGUUUGCGGCUCAACCGUAAAACUGCAGUUGAAACUGGCAGGCUGGAGUGCGGGAGAGGUGGGCGGAAUUCGUGGUGUAGCGGUGAAAUGCUUAGAUAUCACGAAGAACUCCGAUUGCGAAGGCAGCUUACUGGACUGCAACUGACACUGAGGCUCGAAAGCGUGGGUAGCAAACAGGAUUAGAUACCCGUGUAGUC